GACGAGCGCUGGCGGCGUGCUUAACACAUGCAAGUCGAACGGAAAGGCCCUGCUUUUGUGGGGUGCUCGAGUGGCGAACGGGUGAGUAACACGUGAGUAACCUGCCCUUGACUUUGGGAUAACUUCAGGAAACUGGGGCUAAUACCGGAUAGGAGCUCCUGCUGCAUGGUGGGGGUUGGAAAGUUUCGGCGGUUGGGGAUGGACUCGCGACUUAUCAGCUUGUUGGUGGGGUAGUGGCUUACCAAGGCUUUGACGGGUAGCCGGCCUGAGAGGGUGACCGGCCACAUUGGGACUGAGAUACGGCCCAGACUCCUACGGGAGGCAGCAGUGGGGAAUAUUGCACAAUGGGCGGAAGCCUGAUGCAGCAACGCCGCGUGCGGGAUGACGGCCUUCGGGUUGUAAACCGCUUUCGCCUGCGACGAAGCGUGAGUGACGGUAAUGGGUAAAGAAGCACCGGCUAACUACGUG
rnacentral:rRNA from 1 species